GAUGAACGCUGACAGAAUGCUUAACACAUGCAAGUCUUUGGCGAAUCUGUGCUUGCACAGGCUAGCCAAGGCGGACGGGUGAGUAACGCGUAAAGAACUUGCCCUGCAGACAGGGAUAACAGACGGAAACGACUGAUAACACCUGAUACAGUUGCCGGCACGCAUGUGCCUGGCAAUGAAAAGAGAUGCUGCAGGAGAGCUUUGCGUCCUAUUAGCUUGUUGGUGAGGUGACGGCUCACCAAGGCGAUGAUAGGUAGCCGGCCUGAGAGGGUGAACGGCCAAAAGGGGACGGAGAUACGGCCCUUACUCCUACGGGAGGGAGGAGGGGGGAAAAUUGGACAAGGGGGGAAACCCUAAACCAGCAAUUCGGUGGGAAAGAAAAAGGUUUUGGGUUGUAAAAGGGCUUUCGGCAGGGAAAAAGAAAGGGACGGUACCUGCAAAAGAAGGGACGGCAAAAUAAGU
rnacentral:rRNA from 1 species